rnacentral:rRNA from 1 species
UACGGAGGGUGCAAGCGUUAUCCGGAAUUACUGGGUUUAAAGGGUGCGUAGGCGGUUAUGUAAGUCAGCUAGUGAAAUUCCACAGCUUAACUGUAGGGACUGCUUUUGAUACUGCAUAACUUGAACCAAGAUGAGGUAGGCGGAAUGUGGCAUGUAGCGGUGAAAUGCAUAGAUAUGCCAUAGAACACCGAUUGCGAAGGCAGCUUACUAGACUUGAGUUGACGCUGAGGCACGAAAGCGUGGGGAGCGAACAGG